ACGAACGCUGGCGGCGUGCCUAACACAUGCAAGUCGAACGGGGUCCAUGAGAGCUUGCUCUCGGAAGACCUAGUGGCGAACGGGUGAGUAACACGUGAGAAACCUGCCUUGGAGUGGGGAAUAACUCGGGGAAACUCGAGCUAAUACCGCAUACCUUCUUUUGAUCGCAUGGUCAGCUGAAGAAAGAAUUUCGCUCCAAGAGGGUCUCGCGGCCUAUCAGUUUGUUGGUGGGGUAACGGCCUACCAAGACUACGACGGGUAGCUGGUUUGAGAGAACGAUCAGCCACACUGGAACUGAGACACGGUCCAGACUCCUACGGGAGGCAGCAGUGGGGAAUCUUGCGCAAUGGGCGAAAGCCUGACGCAGCAACGCCGCGUGCGGGAUGAAGGCCUUCGUGGUUGUAAACCGCUUUCAGCAGGGGCGAAAAUGACGGUACCUGCAGAAGAAGCCCCGGCUAACUACGUG
rnacentral:rRNA from 1 species